UACGAAGGGGGCGAGCGUUGUUCGGAAUUACUGGGCGUAAAGGGCGCGCAGGCGGCCUGAGAAGUCAGAUGUGAAAGCCCCGGGCUCAACCUGGGAAUAGCAUUUGAUACUCUGAGGCUGGAGUGCGGGAGAGGAGAGUGGAAUUCCCAGUGUAGAGGUGAAAUUCGUAGAUAUUGGGAAGAACACCGGUGGCGAAGGCGGCUCUCUGGACCGUAACUGACGCUGAGGCGCGAAAGCGUGGGGAGCAAACAGG
rnacentral:rRNA from 1 species